UGGUCAAGUUAUUAAGGGUGCAGGGCGGAUGCCUUGGCACUAGGAGCCGAUGAAGGACGUGAUAAGCUGCGAUAAGCUUCGGGGAGUUGCACGUAAACUUUGAUCCGAAGAUUUCCGAAUGAGGAAACUCACUUAGAGUAAUGUCUAAGUAUCAUUAAGUGAAUACAUAGCUUAAUGAGGGGAACUCAGGGAACUGAAACAUCUAAGUACCUGAAGGAAGAGAAAGAAAUUCGAUUCCGUAAGUAGCGGCGAGCGAACGCGGAUUAGCCCAAACCAAUAAAGUUUUCUUUAUUGGGGUUGCGGACAUAUCAUAACGAAGAGGUAUCGUAAUUGAAGAGGUUUGGAAAGACCCACCACAGAAGGUAAUAGUCCUGUAUGUUAAACGAGAAGACUUUAGAUAUGAUCCAGAGUACCACGGGACACGUGAAACCCUGUGGGAAGCAGGAGGGACCACCCUCCAAGGCUAAAUACUACCUAGUGACCGAUAGCGUAUAGUACCGUGAGGGAAAGGUGAAAAGAACCCCGGGAGGGGAGUGAAAUAGAACCUGAAACCCUGCACUUACAAGCUGUGGAAGCACAUUUCUUGUGUGACCGCGUACUUUUUGUAGAACGGGCCAACGAGUUACGUUAAGUAGCAAGGUUAAGCACUUAAGGUGCGGAGCCGUAGCGAAAGCGAGUUUUAACUGAGCGUUCAGUUACUUGACGUAGACCCGAAACCGGGCGACCUACCCAUGAGCAGGAUGAAGCGAAAGUAAAAUUUCGUGGAGGUCCGAACCCACGAGCGUUGAAAAGCUCGGGGAUGACUUGUGGGUAGCGGUGAAAUUCCAAUCGAGCCCGGAGAUAGCUGGUUCUCCCCGAAAUAGCUUUAGGGCUAGCCUCAAGGUGAGAGAUACGGAGGUAGAGCACUGAAUGUCCUAGGGGGUAUUGCACCUACCGAAGACUAUCAAACUCCGAAUGCCGUCAUCUUAUACUUGGGAGUCAGACUGUGGGUGAUAAGAUUCAUAGUCGAAAGGGCAACAGCCCAGAUCGUCAGCUAAGGUCCCUAAAUGUAAGUUAAGUGGUAAAGGAUGUGGGAUUGCACAGACAACCAGGAUGUUGGCUUAGAAGCAGCCACUCAUUCAAAGAGUGCGUAAUAGCUCACUGGUCGAGUGAUCCUGCGCCGAAGAUUUCCGGGGCUAAAACUUACUACCGAAGCUACGGCAUCAGUAAUGAUGGGUAGGGGAGCUUCCCAUACGGGUUGAAGCAUGACCGUAAGGACAUGUGGACAGUAUGGGAGUGAGAAUGUUGGC
rnacentral:rRNA from 1 species